GAUGAACGCUGGCGGCGUGCCUAAUACAUGCAAGUCGAGCGAACAGACGAGGAGCUUGCUCCUCUGACGUUAGCGGCGGACGGGUGAGUAACACGUGGAUAACCUACCUAUAAGACUGGGAUAACUUCGGGAAACCGGAGCUAAUACCGGAUAAUAUAUUGAACCGCAUGGUUCAAUAGUGAAAGACGGUUUUGCUGUCACUUAUAGAUGGAUCCGCGCCGCAUUAGCUAGUUGGUAAGGUAACGGCUUACCAAGGCGACGAUGCGUAGCCGACCUGAGAGGGUGAUCGGCCACACUGGAACUGAGACACGGUCCAGACUCCUACGGGAGGCAGCAGUAGGGAAUCUUCCGCAAAGGGCGAAAGCCUGACGGAGCAACGCCGCGUGAGUGAUGAAGGUCUUCGGAUCGUAAAACUCUGUUAUUAGGGAAGAACAAAUGUGUAAGUAUCUAUGCACGUCUUGACGGUACCUAAUCAGAAAGCCACGGCUAACUACGUG
rnacentral:rRNA from 1 species